UACGGAGGGGGCUAGCGUUGUUCGGAAUUACUGGGCGUAAAGCGCACGUAGGCGGAUAUUUAAGUCAGGGGUGAAAUCCCGGGGCUCAACCCCGGAACUGCCUUUGAUACUGGGUAUCUGGAGGUCGAGAGAGGCGAGUGGAAUUCCGAGUGUAGAGGUGAAAUUCGUAGAUAUUCGCAAGAACACCAGUGGCGAAGGCGGCUCACUGGCCCGAUACUGACGCUGAGGCACGAAAGCGUGGGGAGCAAACAGG
rnacentral:rRNA from 1 species